GAUAUUUAUUGGUUCUUGAUGAUUUUAAUGCUUAAAAUGAAUGUCAUGUGCAGAUAUUAUUCUAGCAACAGUUGACCAAGAAAAGUGACAUCUACAGCUUUGGGGUCGUUCUUUUGGAGCUCAUUUGUGGUAGAGAACCAUUGAGCCACUCAGGAACUCCAGACUCAUUCAAUUUGGUCUUAUGGGCCAAGCCCUAUUUACAAGCAGGUACAUUUGAGAUAGUGCCUCAUAGUGGACGAGAGCUUAACAGGAACAUUUGCAGUAGAGAGCAUGAGAAAGGCAGCCUUCGUUGCUGUGAAGUCAGUAGAGAGAGAUGCAUCACAAAGGCCAACUAUUGCAGAGGUAUUGGCAGAGUUGAAAGAAGCCUAUAGCAUUCAGCACUCCUACCUAGCAUCUUUCGAGCAUGGCAGCUGAUUUCCAGUCAAUACAACGUAUGAAAUAUUUAUCCUCGAACUAAGACUUUUAUUUAUUUAUUUUUUCAUUUCAUUUCCUUUUUGAGUAUGUAAAUAGAAUGAAGUCUUCUCAAAGUCAAAUCAAGCAGAAUUGCCUUGAAUGCCAAUAUUAAUAGAGAUGUAAUAAGGUUUACUAUUAGUUACUUUCUUUGACAAUGUUAAGAAGAGACUAUUUCCGUGAUAAUAGCAACAAUGAAAACUUUUCUUUUUCCUGCAA